rnacentral:rRNA from 1 species
CCUGCAGGAAAGGACAUCAACCGAGACUCCGCAAGUAGUGGCGAGCGAACGCGGACCAGGCCAGUGGCAAUGAGGAAUAAAGUGGAACGAUCUGGAAAGUUCGGCCGUAGCGGGUGAUAGCCCCGUACACGUAGAACACUCAUUGUCCUUGAGUAAGGCGGGACACGUGAAAUCCUGUCUGAACAUGGGGAGACCACUCUCCAAGCCUAAGUACUCGUGCAUGACCGAUAGCGAACAAGUACCGUGAGGGAAAGGUGAAAAGCACCCCGACAAGGGGAGUGAAAUAGAACCUGAAACCGGAUGCCUACAAACAGUCGGAGCCCGCAAGGGUGACGGCGUACCUUUUGUAUAAUGGGUCAACGACUUAGUGUGGCAUGCAAGCUUAAGCCGGUAGGUGGAGGCGUAGCGAAAGCGAGUCUGAACAGGGCGCUUUAGUAUGUCGCAUUAGACCCGAAACCGAGUGAUCUAGCCAUGAGCAGGUUGAAGGUUGGGUAACACCAACUGGAGGACCGAACCCGCAUCUGUUGCAAUAGAUUGGGAUGACUUGUGGCUAGGGGUGAAAGGCCAAUCAAACUCGGAAAUAGCUGGUUCUCCGCGAAAACUAUUUAGGUAGUGCGUCGACCGAAUACCCUCGGGGGUAGAGCACUGGAUGGGCUAUGGGGACUCACCGUCUUACUGAUCCUAACCAAACUCCGAAUACCGAGGAGUACUAGUCGGCAGACACACGGCGGGUGCUAACGUCCGUCGUGAAAAGGGCAACAACCCUGACCUCCAGCUAAGGUCCCCAAGUCAUGGCUAAGUGGGAAAGGAUGUGAGGAUCCCAAAACAACCAGGAUGUUGGCUUAGAAGCAGCCAUCAUUUAAAGAAAGCGUAACAGCUCACUGGUCUAAAUAAGGGUCUUUGCGCCGAAAAUGUAACGGGGCUGAAGCCAUGCACCGAAGCUGAGGAUACGUCGUAAGACGUGUGGUAGCGGAGCGUUCCGUAAGCCAGUGAAGGGAUACCCGUGAGGGGUCCUGGAGGUAUCGGAAGUGCGAAUGUUGACAUGAGUAACGAUAAAGAGGGUGAGAGACCCUCUCGCCGAAAGACCAAGGGUUCCUGCUUAAAGUUAAUCUGAGCAGGGUUAGCCGGCCCCUAAGACGAGGCGGACACGCGUAGUCGAUGGGAACCACGUUAAUAUUCGUGGGCCUGGUGGUAGUGACGGAUUGCUCAACUUGUCCGGACUUAUUGGAUUGUCCGGGCGGGGACGCGGUUCCAGGAAAUAGCUCCACCGUAUAGACCGUACCCGAAACCGACACAGGUGGUCAGGUAGAGUAUACCAAGGCGCUUGAGAGAACUAUGUUGAAGGAACUCGGCAAAUUGCACGCGUAACUUCGGAAGAAGCGUGACCCUUUUCUACGCAAGUAGGAUGGGGUGGCACAGACCAGGGGGUAGCGACUGUUUAUCAAAAACACAGGGCUCUGCGAAGUCGCAAGACGACGUAUAGGGUCUGACGCCUGCCCGGUGCUGGAAGGUUAAGAGGAGGGGUGCAAGCUCUGAAUCGAAGCCCCAGUAAACGGCGGCCGUAACUAUAACGGUCCUAAGGUAGCGAAAUUCCUUGUCGGGUAAGUUCCGACCUGCACGAAUGGCGUAACGACUUCCCCGCUGUCUCCAACAUAGACUCAGUGAAAUUGAAUUCCCCGUGAAGAUGCGGGGUUCCUGCGGUCAGACGGAAAGACCCCGUGCACCUUUACUAUAGCUUUACACUGGCAUUCGUGUCGGCAUGUGUAGGAUAGGUGGUAGGCUUUGAAGCGGGGACGCCAGUUCUCGUGGAGCCAUCCUUGAAAUACCACCCUUAUCGUCAUGGAUGUCUAACCGCGGUCCGUCAUCCGGAUCCGGGACAGUGUAU